rnacentral:sRNA from 1 species
ACUGUGUAUGGAAAGACCAGUUGACCUUCAUUGUACAUGGAUGAGUGAACAGAGAAGAAAGUGUGUAAGUCAGGACUGGGUGGAAAUGGGACAGAAAAACAACAGGAUGCUGAAUCAAAGGUUGUUCACUUGUAAAUCAAGCCGUCACUAGAAAAGCACAGAAUGACGAAAGAAAAUUAUAUCGAACUAAUUAUUCAAUUUAUGACCAACAAUAACAUUACUGGUGAAUUGGACUUCAAAGAGCCCUUUAUAAAACCUUCACUUAGAUACGUGUACCCAUUUUUUCUGUUUCUUCAUGCAUUGGUUGGACUGAUAGGGAUUGCUGGCAAUACCGCCAUGCUAGUUGUCAUUACAAAACAUCGACUAUACCAGGAUCAGACCUAUUUCUUGAUGACCAACCUGGCAUUCGCAGAUUUGAUCAAGUGCAUGAUUGUUUUACCCAUUACAUUGGCAAACCUUUUGCUCCAGAAUUGGUUGUUUGGAAGUUUUCUUUGUUUUUUUUUACCAAUGUUACAGUGGUUUCCUGCACAUGCUUCAAUGUUGACAUUUCUUAUGAUAGCUAUU